rnacentral:lncRNA from 1 species
AUUAGAUAGAUAGAUAGAUGGAUAGAUAGUUCCGUCCAGACGCCUUGUCACCCAAAUUUCUUGCAAGACUUGCAGCAACAGACUUGUUUUAGCGUAAACACCUGGUGAUGCAAACAAUGAUAUAAAAGAAAUGAUAGUACCAUACAAUCGUUAUGCACCCAGAAUAAUAAUGGUUCAGUAAAAACAUCAAGAUACGUCACAUCUCUUCGCACAUAUCAGUGGUUGUACAUGUCAUACCAAUCUAUGGCAUACGGUGCAUGUUUAAAAGGUAUAACAAAACACAAUAGAAGAAAGUAGUGGCUUAGCCCUAGAGAAUGUAAAAGGCAGUAGACAUAUAUAAUAAAGGGGCAUUAAUAUGCAUUUAUAGUAGUUUGUGACACAUGAUAACGGGCAGUAGAUCGCACACAUAGCUUGCUUGCACAUUUCACACCAACUGAGCACAAAUCAAGGCAUGAUAUGCACAAAAAUAACAGAGAAGCCAGUGUGGGAGAAGGGAUGGCUCACCAAUGCACCCCCAGAUCCAAGCUCCAACACUUCGAUGCCCUUUUGGAUUUUCAUGGAAAACCAUAUAGACACAUAUAAAUAAAAAAUCUACAAAAAGAAGAUGUUAUAUAUUGUAGUACUAAUUCCAAUCGAGGCAUGAUUAUAUUAUUGGAGGAUGUUGAACUCAACGGAUUAUAUUCUUAUUGAUUCCUUCUGAUUGUUUAUUUGCUGAAAGCCCACCGGUCAUGAAAUCAACUACGGAUGAUUGUUAAUUACAAUGCUCUAGGAGAACUGAUCAGGGUGUGUGAGCACAAAAAAACUCAGCAACCUUCGUGAUGACAACUGUGAAUAAACAUAAAAGGUAUAUUUUGCCUUUAUUAAUUAUUAAUUUUGACUUCAUAUUCACAAAGAGUAAUACCAAGUUCCAUUAAAAGGUUGAUAAAAGGCCGAGUGCUAGCCUUGCCUUUUUGGUUUUAAAGGGAGGGGGUCUCAUCAGCAAUGACACACCCCUUAGUUCACUACAGGGAGGGAAAACAGUCAGACCCACUUAUUCGGUAUCGAUGGAUCAAACAGGAAGCACAGGAG